CCAGACGGUCGGACGGCCGCGUCGGGUUUCAAAACCUGCCGAGGAAAGUCCGGGCUCCAUGGAGGCACGGCGCCGGGUAACGCCCGGCCGGUUUGUUCAGCAAUGGGCAGAUUGAGGGAAAGCGCCACAGAAAACGAACCGCUCCGGUCCGCCGGAGUAAGGGUGAAAAGGUGCGGUAAGAGCGCACCGCUUGGCUGGCGACAGGCAAGGCACGGCAAGCCCCGCCGGGAGCAAGACCGAAUAGGGACGACGCGUCGUUGACAGGUGCGCCUUCGCACCCAGUCGUCCGGGUUGGUUGCUUGAGCGAACGUGCAAGCGUUUCGUCUAGAGGAAUGGUCGUCGCCCGUGUUUACUUUCGGAAACGCGGGUACAGAACCCGGCUUACAGACCGUCUGGCACU
rnacentral:RNase_P_RNA from 1 species